GUGUGUAUAGUUCAGUGGUAGAGCACAUGUUUAGCAUGCAUGAGGCCCUGGGUUCAAUCCCCAGUACCUCCA
rnacentral:tRNA from 1 species